GUGAAAUUUGUAGUAAGCAAUUUAGUAAAAAAAGUAGUUUAAAAAUUUACUUGAAAGUUCACAAUGAUGAAAACUCGCAUAAAUGUGAAAUAUGUAGUAAACACUUUAGUUCACUAGAUAAAAGAUACUCAUAAAAGAAUUCACACUGGUGAAAAACCUUAUAAAUGUGAAAUAUGUAGCAAGCAAUUUACUCAAAAAAGUAGCUUAAAAAUUCACAUGCAAGUUCACACUGGUGAAAACUCAUAUAAAUGUGAAAUUUGUAGUAAGCAAUGUACUCAAGAAAGUAGUUUAAAAUAUCACAAUCGAGUUCACACUGGUGAAAAACCUUAUAAAUGUGAAAUUUGUAUUAAGCAAUUUAGUAAAAAAAGUAAUUUAAAAAUGCACAUUUGAGUUCACACUGAUGAGAAACAGGAUAAAUGUGAAAUGUGUAGUAAGCACUUUAAUUCACUAUGGUUUAUUUUUUAACCAGGAGGAGUAAACUAAAAAGACAGAUUCACACCCAACAAAGUCAUGAGAAAAAUCACCAAAUACAUCUUCUUUUUUGGUUGAUCAUGUCGCCCUUUGACGGUUAUCCAUAAAUAUUAUAUUAUACUAAUACGUCGCUAAAGAGUUCUGAAAACAACUGCUUUUUAUAUAAAAGCAGAUAAAAAUCUAAAAAAUAAGGAAAAACACAGAAACACAAAAAGCGCGAUAUAACUUAAUUAACCUAUGAAAUGUCAAUAAUGUCAAAAUUUGAUAAAUGUCAUUAGUGUCAAAAUUUUAUAAGAUUGGAGUAAACUUGCGUGCGGUUGAACCAAUUACAAACAAGCUGUCUAAUCGUCGGUCUCAGUGGAGGUUGAUCUUCAGUAAUAUAAACACCAAUAGCACUUAGAUAUUUUAUUGAUAGCGGUAGCCACUAGGGUAGUUACCCCGAGAGAACGUUGAGUACUGAUGUGUGGCUUGUACGCGACUUAGUUGAAGACUCUAUGAUGCUACAUAUUGAAUGUAUGUAGGAAUGAAGUUAAAGGCACAUCUUGCCUGGUUGAAUUGAUUCUUGAGAAUGAUUCUAAAAUGUAUUUUCUCUUGUUGGCAACAUGAAUUGGGUCAUAGCUCACACGACAAAAAGAACAAAGGUUUUACUUUGUCAGCUAAAUUAAUGUCCAUUGCCAAAAUAUUGUUUUUAAAUUGCUACAAUUAAACAAAUUAAAUAACCCGCACAUGUUUGAAUUUAAUAACAAAUUGUUUGAUAUGAUAUACGGGGUGAUAAAAAUAUACCGUUCAAUCUUCUUCUUAAGGUGCCGAGACCGCUUGUCGAUCGUUGGCUCUCAUGUUGCCCAGCAUAUUAACAAUCACUGUCUUAUUUACAGCCGCACGAAAUAGUUCAGUGCUAGUUUUCCCAAACCAUUGGCGUAGGUUUUUAAGCCAAGAAGUUGUACGGCGGCCCAUACUUCUUUUUCCCAUUAUUUUACCUUGCAUGACAAGGUCAAGUAUGUCAUAUUUUUCUGGGUGACGCAUUAUAUGACCAAAGUAUUCCAAUUUGCAACUUUUAACCGUGUUCACUACUUCGCAACUUCUAUUCAAACGUUGCAAAGCCCUUUCGUUUGGGACUCUUUCUACCCAACUGAUCUUCAGAAUAAGGCGGUAGACCCACAUCUCAAAUGCUUCUAGGUUUUUUAAAAGCGAUUCUGUCAGGGUCCAUGCUUCAAUCCCGUAAAGAAUUGAAGCUGGACUGUUCAGUAUCGGAUAUUAAUUCUGAAUAUUUGGUAUUGGACACAAGCAUUACAGCGCGGUAAAUUUGAAUCCCUCCUCUUGGUUUAAAAACGAACCAUAGAUAAUUUAAAUAGUCAUAGGAAAGUUCACUCUGGUCAACAUCCAUAUAAAUGUGAAAUAUGUAGUAAGCAGUUUAUUACAAGAAGUAAUUUAAAUACGCAUAAAAGAAUUCACACUGGUGAAAAACCAUAUAAACGUGAAAUAUGUACAAGUUGUAGUUACUCAAGAAAGUAGUUUAAAAUAUCACAAUCGUGUUCACACUGGUAAACACCUAUAUAAAUGUGAAAUUUGUAGUAAGCACUUGAAUUCGUUAGAUAAUUUAAAUAGUCACAUGAAAGUUCACAUUGGUGAAAAACCGUAUAAAUAUGAAAUAUGUAGUAAGCAGUUUGCUCACAUGAGUAAUUUAAAUCGGCAUAUGAAAGUUCACACUGGCGAAAAACCUUAUAAAUGUGGACUUUUUAGUAAGCAAUUUGCUCAAAACAGUACUUUAAAGUUCACAUCCGCAAAAGUAUGAAAUUUGUAAUAAGCAAUUUACUCAAAAAAGUAGUUUAAAAUAAUAUCACAUGCAAGUUUACUGAAGUGUUGGUCUAUUAGCCCUUAAACGCCCAACCUUAUGUAAGUUCCAUGUAUGCCCAAGGAUGGGUAAAAAAUGUCCAUCUCGAAAAUGGCUAAUAUAUUUAUUGAGAGUUGUUGCAAAUGUUAGAAAUGGAUUAAAUUUAAAAAUAUUAUGCUUAGUAAACACAGAAUCUUCUAAAAUAUUAAUAUAACCGAUGUACAAACCUUACAACAAAAUUACGAUGUGCAUAAAAAUUAAAAUACUAGUAAAAGUAAAUUCAGAUUUGCCGAUUUUCUCCACAUUCUUUCUUUCAGCCUCUUUAGUGUGGAGGAUAAUUAUGUCGAUUAUGUAAUUAUACCUCGAUAAUUAUGUGGAUGAGAGAAAAAUUCUUAGAAAGAUUUUUGGGGCAGUAAAUGAAAAUGGGCUAUGGCGUCGAAGAUACAACUUUGAACUGUAUCAGUUAUACCGAUCAGUUACACCGAUCCAGAUAUUGUGAAAUUCGUUAAAGUGCAGAGACUUAGAUGGGCUGGGCACAUUGCUAGGAUGUCAGAUCACGAAUACAUUAAGAGAUUAAGAUUUUCAAAACCAGAGGGCACAAGAAGUAGAGGACGACCACGAAGAAGAUGGAUUGAUGAUGUGGAAGAAGACCUAAAGAUUGUAGGGGUCAGAAGAUGGAGGGAAGUUGCCAGGAAUCGACAGGAGUGGCGACUUCUUUGCUAGCAGGCCAAGAUCCACAACGGAUUGUCGAGCCAAUUAUGAUGAUGAUGAUGAUGAAUUAUGUGGAUUAUGUUCUUGCCAACGAGAAUUUAUAUAGAAACCUUUAGUAAAAGGUUAAAUGACAAGUUUUACAAGGGUGGACAUUUUGUGUCCACUCAUAUUUAACUCAAGAUAUUAGUUUUAUUUUCAAAAAUAUCGGUACAUCCAAAUUAAAAUUCGAUAAAGCGUUGUCGUUUUAACAAUAAAUAAUUUUUGAAAAAUUUCGGAACAUUUAAUACAUAUGUUACAAGGGAAUACGCAUUAGGUGGACAUUUUUUACCCACCGUUGGGCGUUUAAGGGUUAAUGUGAAAGUUGUGGUUAACAGUUCACUUGAAAUUAUAGUUUAUUUGAACGUAUUAAAGUUCCGACUGGAAAAUAAACUUUAAGAUUAACAUGCAUAAUGUAUGUAUAUACAGUAGAACGUCGAUAAUCCUGACGUCAAUAAUCCGGAUUUGUAUCUAGCAAAAAUAUCGUGAUUCUUUUAAAACAAAUUAAAAACUUCGCUGCGAAAAAACGAACCUCUACCGCAAGUCAAAAACCUUUUACACAUUUUUUUAAACCUCAAAUAGUGUCUAAUGUCAAAAAUUAAUAACCAUUUUCAAUUUCGUUGCAACACGAAACUACAGCCGCAUCAUAUUCUAGUUCAAUCAGAGAGUGCAGCAAGCACCUCUACCGGUUUAGAAACUUAUUAGUCUCUCAUCAGGAGGCACAUAUGCUGCUCUCUCUCUGAUCCAACUAGGACAAACGCCGGCGUGCAGCCACGAAUUGCAACGAACGAAAUGACAGGGAUGCCCUAGCGGCAACUGCUAGCAAAAGACUAAGUUUUCAAUCUAAUAGCACACAAAAUAACACGAUGGGACGUGAAUUAUAAUCUGUAAAAUUCCCUCAUCUUCCUUAAUCUCAGCAUCCGUUAUGGCUUGCAAAUUUUAGAAGCCUCGGAGGUGUAACCAGAGAAGGUUCCCAUUGUUUUCGUUCUGGUAGGAUAUGGAGUAACAGUUUGGUGGUAUUUUGUGUGCUAUUAGAUUGAAAACUUAAUCUUUUGCUAGCAGUUGCCGCUAGGGCAUCCCUGCCAUUUCGUUCGUUGCAAUUCAUGACUGCACGCCAAGGUUUGUCCUGGUUGGAUCAGACAGAGCAGCAUAUGUGCCUCCUGAUGAGACACUAAUAAGUUUCGAAACCUGUAGAGGUGCUUGCUGCACUCUCUGAUUGAACUAGAAUAUGAUGCGGCUGUACUUUCGUGUUGCAACGAAAUUGAAAAUGGUUAUUCAUUUUUGAUUUACAUGUUUACUCUUAUUGGAAUACGAAAGGAACCAUUCUCGUUGGAACUUUACCGCGUUGAGCAGAUGGGACGUGAAUUAUAAAUUGUAAAAUUCCCUCAUCUUCCUUAGUCAGCAUCCGUUAUGGCUUGCAAAUUUUAGAAGCCUCGGAGUUGUAACCAGAGAAGGUUCCCAUUGUUUUCGAUCUGGUAGGAUAGGGAGUAACAUUUUGGUGUUAUUUUGUGUGCUAUUAGAUUGAAAACUUAGUCUUUUCUUUUGUCUUCUAGUGUCUAAUGUUUUUACUGUACUUACACAUGUUGCUAUAAAUAAAUUACAAUACAGUGUUUGAACAUAAAAAAAUGUUUUGAUUAACUUCACCUCUAGACACUUGACUGUAUAAGAGAAAAUAUGAAAUUUUAAAAUGUUCAAUAUAUAAAUGUGUAGACUGGCCUUUUUUUAGGUAAUUUCGAUAAUCCGGAUAAUUUGAUAAUCCGGUUGGGGUCCGAUCCCAAUUAAUCCGGAUUAUUGACAUUCUACUGUGUGUAUGUAGGAUUCGUUAAAAACACUCGUAAUAAAAGUCUGUAUGAUG